UAUGUUGCAUUGACAGAAAGAAGUACUUACGUAAAAUCCAUAAAAGCGACCUUAGGGCGGUGUGAGCUAAGGAUGGAGGCGUAACGAAAGGCAUUCUUGAGCAACGUAAAACAAAGCGGCUGGGUGCUACGACACCAGCAAAUAGGGUGGAACCGCGGGAAAAAACUCUCGUCCCUAUG
rnacentral:misc_RNA from 1 species